AAAGCCCUUAUAUUUCUUUAUGGGAUAUUUAAAGCCACGUGUGUUUAAAGAAAGUUCAAAUGGUAAUGAAUCAUAGAGAAAGGCAGGCUAAGAGGUUAACAGGCGAUACUUAAACAAGUAUACCAGGCGAGGGCAUGGGGCAAUCACUCUAUAAAUCCUCAUCUCUGUCACUCGCGCUGAAACAAUUGAAUUAUCCUCGCUUCAUGUAAAGCCACAUAGCGACGUAUUUAUGACUAUUGUUAGAUUUGGUAAUCAAAUUGUCAAAUUUUCUAAUUAACUAAUUCAUCCCUUACUUUGUCUAUUCAACACUUUGAGC
rnacentral:lncRNA from 1 species